GACGAACGCUGGCGGCGUGCUUAACACAUGCAAGUCGAACGGAAAGGCCCUGCUUUUGUGGGGUGCUCGAGUGGCGAACGGGUGAGUAGCACGUGAGUAACCUGCCCUUGACUUUGGGAUAGCUUCAGGAAACUGGGGCUAAUACCGGAUAGGAGCUCCUGCUGCAUGGUGGGGGUUGGAAAGUUUCGGCGGUUGGGGAUGGACUCGCGGCUUAUCAGCUUGUUGGUGGGGUAGUGGCUUACCAAGGCUUUGACGGGUAGCCGGCCUGAGAGGGUGACCGGCCACAUUGGGACUGAGAUACGGCCCAGACUCCUACGGGAGGCAGCAGUGGGGAAUAUUGCACAAUGGGCGGAAGCCUGAUGCAGCAACGCCGCGUGCGGGAUGACGGCCUUCGGGUUGUAAACCGCUUUCGCCUGUGACGAAGCGUGAGUGACGGUAAUGGGUAAAGAAGCACCGGCUAACUACGUG
rnacentral:rRNA from 1 species